UGGGCUUGGUUGAACAUCCGGCGUUCUCGCCGGUGCACUCUGCCAGUCCAGGCCAGCAUCAGUUUGCCCCGGGGGAUAAAGGCGGCGGGAAUGUGGCUCCCUUCGGGGAGUGUUAUAGCCCGUCGUGUAAUGCCCUGGGGCGGACUGAGGAACGCGCUUCGGCACGGAUGCUGGCGUAAUGGUCAUCAAUGACCCGUCUUGAGACACGGACCAAGGAGUCGUCUUCGUAUGCGAGUGUUCGGGUGUCAAACCCCUACGCGUAAUGAAAGUGAACGUAGGUGAGAGCUUCGGCGCAUCACCGACCGAUCCUGAUGUUCUCGGAUGGAUUUGAGUAAGAGCAUACGGGGCCGGACCCGAAAGAAGGUGAACUAUGCCUGUAUAGGGUGAAGCCAGAGGAAACUCUGGUGGAGGCUCGCAGCGGUUCUGACGUGCAAAUCGAUCGUCAAAUAUGGGCAUGGGGGCGAAAGACUAAUCGAACCUUCUAGUAGCUGGUUUCCGCCGAAGUUUCCCUCAGGAUAGCAGUGUUGAACUCAGUUUUAUGAGGUAAAGCGAAUGAUUAGGGACCAGGGGGCGCUAUUUAGCCUUCAUCCAUUCUCAAACUUUAAAUAUGUAAGAAGCUCUUGUUACUUAAUUGAACGUGGGCAUUCGAAUGUAUCAACACUAGUGGGCCAUUUUUGGUAAGCAGAACUGGCGAUGCGGGAUGAACCGAACGCGAGGUUAAGGUGCCAGAGUAGACGCUCAUCAGACACCACAAAAGGUGUUGGUUCAUCUAG
rnacentral:rRNA from 1 species